UAUACCCCACCCUUUCUUGCAUGAAAGGGCAACCAAAAGGCACCGAAAAUCCAAUCUUACUAUGUGAUUUUUAGAGCUCAAAAGUGUUGUAAAGGCUAGAAGUUCUCCUCCCUCUUUUCUUCCAAGUUUUGAUAUUUCAAGAGAGGAGAGAAAAGUUGGUAAGGGUUGUCUCCUAAGCCCGUCAAAAGGAGUGAAACUGUAAAAGGGUGGUUGGCCUUCGCCUAUUGAAGGAAGGCCUCUAGUGGAAGUCGG
rnacentral:lncRNA from 1 species